AAUCAAAGAUUUCCCAAUUAUUUCAUUACUGCGCUUGUUCUCAACAAAAUCCUUUUUUCUUUCUCUCAUACUAUGUUCCUCUCUUCUCAGUAAAUAACGUUAGCGCAAACUCUCACUGCAAACAGUGUUAGCGCAAAUCCUCUUUUCUCUCUCGCAAACUUUGUUUCACUCUACUCUCUCGCGCAACUCUUCCUUCUCGUGUAACUGUUUCUUCUCUCUCUCUCUCUCUCUUAACCCUCUCUUCGCGCAAAAUAGUAACCCUCUCUUCUCUCUAUCGCUUGACCUCAUUUCUGAAUGAAAAGGGGAAAACAAGUGUUGGUGAAGGAAGCUUGUGAAUCAACAUUGAUUAGGGUUUUUCUCGUGACUUGUGAGACUUCUCCCUUUUUCUCUGCAUCGGUUUCUGCAUCACUUAACCUCUGCAUCAAUUAUGGUUUUUGUAUCUUGCGAGACCUGCAAAACUUCUAACUGUGAUUUUUGACUGUGUUUUACAGAGACUUUGAUAGAAGCUUCCAGAAAAGAUUGGAAUUAACUAUUGACCUCUAAGGUGCUUUUCUUGGAACGGGAUUUGAAAGGAAAAUGAACAAAUGGAAUGGUUUUUGACUUGAUUUUCAAUCUAAGUCUAGCAAUGACUUAAUGCGGGAAUAUAGAGUCAAGUUGGAAAAAGCUAAAUCUAUAAAAGAAAGCAAUCAAAAGGUAGACCAAUCGAAGCAAUCAUUGGAAGCUAAGAAUUCAAUUCUAACACAACAUAAAAAGCAAGGCUAAAAGGUAGUUGCAGUCCAACCAAUUCUUAAACCAUCUAAGAAAAUUGUUGAGAAGAACAAAGGGGUUGGUCAAAAUAAUAAUAUAAAGAGACAACUUUGAUCUCCAAAGGCUCAUUGUCUUCAAGGUUUAAUAGAAUCACAAGUUUCUAAGAAAACUAAUGAGCAAAACAAAAUGCUCUGUUAGAAUAACAAUCUUCAAAAGCAACUAAAGUCAGCAGUGACUACUAAAGUUUUAAUGGAGUCACAAGUGUCUAAGAAAAUUGAUGAGCAUAACAAAAUGUUGUGUUAGAAUAAUAAUCUAUAGAAGCAUCUGAAGUCAACAAUGGCUACUCAAGGUUCAAUAGAAUCAAAAGUCUUUAAGAAAAUUGGUAACAAAAAUAAAAAAUUAUGUUAGAAUAAUAAUCUUAAGAAGAGCCUGAACUCUACGAUGGAUCCUAAAGUUCAAGUUCCAACGGAAUCAAAAGUCUCUAAGAAAAUUGAAGAGAAAAAUAAAGGACUCCAUCAAAACAAUAAUCUUAAGAGGCAAGUCAGCUCUACUAUGGGAAAUCAAGUUCAUGGAUCAACGAUACAUCAACUAGUCUAUACGAAGAAAAAAAACUAUUUCAAAGUGUCCAGCUACGUCACUUACCAAAUAUCUCAAUAAGAAUAAGGAACAACAUGGACUAGAUGAUUCAGGAGAUGAAGAUACAGAAGAAAAUGAAAUGGAGGAGGGUAUCAACUAUGAAAGCGGGGAAAGUGAAGGAACCAAUGUAAAUAAAGCUGAAGGAUUAUUAAAAAAACGAGGAAAGACUAUAUGUCGAAAAAUUCAUUCACGAGAAUUCAAAGAUACGCACGAUAUCAUCUUGAAUGAAGAAGGACAACCGAUUGGGCCGGAUGAAAAGACGGUUUCUGAACUUAGUAGUUUUUUGGGGACAAUCGCAGCAAGUUCAAAUUUAUGUUCUUUCACUUUCAAUAAUUGGAAGGCUUUGAUUAGGACUUGGAAGGAUCUAAAUAUAGAUCCUAUGUGGGAUUAUCUAAAUCAAAAAUACAUCAUUACUGAGAAAGGAAGGAAAAUUGUAUUUGCUAUUUUAAAUGAUGCUUGGAGAAGAUACAAAUGCUUUCUUAAAAAUGAGCAUUUUAGUAAGUACAAAAUCACGCGCAGCGGUUAAAAAAUCGUCCUCAUAAGAUACUAGAAGAAGACUUUAAGAAGUUAUUGAAAUAUUGAAAAGAAGACAACAACCAAUGUCAAUGUAAUGAAGAUAAAAAGCCUCCCAUUCAAGCUCAAAUGUUCAUUGCUACUCGACAGAGUAAGAAAAGAGAGAAGUUGGAUCAAGAAACCAAUCUUGCAAUUAUAAAGCUUCAAAACUUGAUUGAAAAAAUAGACAGUCAUCUUUAGAAGUCUUUCAGAGUAUCUGUGGCAAAGAAAAAGCUGAGAGAUUUCUUUGCCACGAAAGAACUUCAACAACGAAUCUCUUGGAAAGAAAUAAAGAAAUUGAAAAACUUAAAAGAGACAUGGUGAGGAGGUAAAAUAGUUUAAUGAUAAGUUAGAAGAGAUAGAGAAAAAAUAACAUAAGGAAAUGGAAGCAAUGGAAGGAAAAUUUUAGCUUAUUCUUAAAUACAAUGUUGAACCCAAACACUGCAGGAUUGAACCCAAAGAGUACUCUGCGUUCUUCUACAUCAACACAUGCUCUUAAUAAUAAUGAAGUACGACUGAACUAUAUUACUCUUAAAAAUAGUAUUACUAGAACUAUAUUAGUGUUAGAAAUUGUAGUGUUAGAACUACAAUGAUAUUAUACAUUCAACUUUAUUUGCUAUUAGAAAUAUGUACCGUUAGAAAUAGUACUAUUAGAAUUAUAUUACUUUAUAAAUCGGUACUGUUAUAUUUAUAUAUUUUUCAUUCUUCUUAUAUAUGUUGAUGUUGAUUGCUAAAUAGUUGUCUGUUAGAAAUAAUUGUUACUUUAUCAAUGAAUAAAGAUAAUAAUACUGAUUCUGCUUGUAGUGUGUUGAAAUUGCUCUCUUUGUUUUGAAGUCUACUUUGUAUUUAAAUUGAUUCAUCUGAAAAUGAUUAUGUAUUGCUAUCACAUAACAAAAUUUGGUUUAUCUUUUAUUUAUUUGUUUUGAAACCUCUAAACAAUUAAUGCCUAAGCCACAUGAGUUUAUCUUUUAUAUAGAAUA